rnacentral:piRNA from 2 species
UUGCACUCCGGAUGUGCUGACCC